CUUCCUAUAGGUUAAUAGAAACCGAGGGUUUGUGGUACCCUAAAUAUUUUUUGGGAAGC
rnacentral:tRNA from 1 species